UGGGGAAUAUUGCACAAUGGGGGAAACCCUGAUGCAGCGACGCCGCGUGGAGGAAGAAGGUCUUCGGAUUGUAAACUCCUGUUGUUGAGGAAAAAGAGGAUGGUACUCAACAAGGAAGUGACGGCUAACUACGUGCCAGCAGCCGCGGUAAAACGUAGGUCACAAGCGUUGUCCGGAAUUACUGGGUGUAAAGGGAGCGCAGGCGGGUAUGCAAGUUGGAAGUGAAAUACAUGGGCUCAACCCAUGAACUGCUUUCAAAACUGUGUAUCUUGAGUAGUGCAGAGGUAGGCGGAAUUCCCGGUGUAGCGGUGGAAUGCGUAGAUAUCGGGAGGAACACCAGUGGCGAAGGCGGCCUACUGGGCACCAACUGACGCUGAGGCUCGAAAGUGUGGGUAGCAAACAGG
rnacentral:rRNA from 1 species